rnacentral:rRNA from 1 species
GUAGGUGGCAAGCGUUGUCCAGAAUUAUUGGGCGUAAAGCGCGCGCAGGCGGUUCUUUAAGUCUGAUGUGAAAGCCCACGGCUCAACCGUGGAGGGUCAUUGGAAACUGGAGAACUUGAGUACAGAAGAGGAAAGCGGAAUUCCACGUGUAGCGGUGAAAUGCGUAGAGAUGUGGAGGAACACCAGUGGCGAAGGCGGCUUUCUGGUCUGUAACUGACGCUGAGGCGCGAAAGCGUGGGGGAGCAAACAGGAUUAGAUACCCUGGUAGUCCACGCCGUAAACGAUGAGUGCUAAGUGUUAGGGGGUUUCCGCCCCUUAGUGCUGCAGCUAACGCAUUAAGCACUCCGCCUGGGAGUACGGCCGCAAGGCUG